rnacentral:tRNA from 1 species
AGAAGAUACCGCUGGGUUGGCUGGCAACACGGUUUGAACCCGUGGGCGCUGGAAACGGUGGGGGUUCGACUCCUCUAUCUUCUGCCA